rnacentral:rRNA from 1 species
GAUGAACGCUAGCUACAGGCUUAACACAUGCAAGUCGAGGGGCAGCAUGGUCUUAGCUUGCUAAGGCCGAUGGCGACCGGCGCACGGGUGAGUAACACGUAUCCAACCUGCCGUCUACUCUUGGACAGCCUUCUGAAAGGAAGAUUAAUACAAGAUGGCAUCAUGAGUUCACAUGUUCACAUGAUUAAAGGUAUCCCGGUAGACGAUGGGGAUGCGUUCCAUUAGAUAGUAGGCGGGGUAACGGCCCACCUAGUCUACGAUGGAUAGGGGUUCUGAGAGGAAGGUCCCCCACAUUGGAACUGAGACACGGUCCAAACUCCUACGGGAGGCAGCAGUGAGGAAUAUUGGUCAAUGGGCGAGAGCCUGAACCAGCCAAGUAGCGUGAAGGAUGAAGGUCCUACGGAUUGUAAACUUCUUUUAUACGGGAAUAAAGUAUCCUACGUGUAGGAUUUUGUAUGUACCGUAUGAAUAAGCAUCGGCUAACUCCGUGCCAG